GUUUUACAGGUGGGAAAAUCAAGGCUCAGAGAAGUUGAAUAACUUGCCUCAAGCCAUAUAUUUGGCACCAAGAUGUGAUCAGAGCCGGAGCCAAGAACUGAGGUCCAAAGAGCGUGCCUUGCCCAAGGCCGCACAGGAGGAGAAAGAGACCGCCGGUAAAAAAGACUGAAACACAAUAGGAAGAGAGAGUCCACAAAGCUGAGACACCAAAGGGAUCAGAGUGUGAGCACACACACUAUGUGUGUAUAUCUUCUCUGUGUAUGUACACAGUCGAUGAGAGUAAAUUAUUGUCAUGGGUAAGGGUUUAACAUUAUUGACCUGUACAAUGGCUUUUAAAAAUAUAUGCAACAUGGCUGGAAUGCCAAUUUGAAGUGGAGAAGCAUUUAGGAAAAUGAAUAGGCUGAGCCAGAGUAUUUUCAUGGAACAGAGCAAGCCUCUUUAAUUUGUUCACUGCAGAGAGCCUGAGAGUAAGCUAACAUUGUAACCUGCUAAGUAAAGCACCAUGAACAUGAUUAAUAAUGCAGAGGGGGAAGGCUCAAGAGUUAUUGUGCUGUGCAGUUUUUGGUUUCAGGAAGGCAAUAAUUGUUUCAAAGUCACUGACAAUUUUGGUUAACAAGUGAUACAAAUGGAUCGGGUCAGUUGGCCGUUCUCUGGGCGCCCUCCCACACCUACAGCCGCUAAACUCUGCAAAUUCUGAUUCAUUACCAUCGACUCCCCUUGUGUUACCUAUCUAGCCAGUGUCUGUAGCUGGGAAGUGUGUGGUGGCAGGGAUCAUUCAAAAGGGCUCCACCGCCUUACAGUCCCUGGAGCAGAGGAGCAAAGUCUCUGCUUUUGUUCAGCUGGAAAAGAAUGAAACCCAUGUUCUAUUCUAUUGUCCCACUGCAAGCCAGGCUUUUUAAUUGGCAUGUUGGAGUCAGUGUUUAAAGAGGUGUGCAAUGACAGCUCAGAAGUGAGGCAUCAUGGGGCAGCAGUGACUUCACCUCCAGUUUAAUCCUGGUUGGAAUUUGUGUGUGCUGUUGCUGUUCCUGGCUCCUAGGAAAUGUGUGUGGUUGCUGUUAGCGGAGGGGCAGAUAGGGCUGCACUUAGAUGACAGGGUUGCGCUUAACAUGUUGCAUUAAUCCUGGGCUCUGAUGCAUCGAUCCUUUCUUUCCCCUCCACCUCCUCGGCCCCUGAUAAACAUUAAGAAAGUUGGUGCCUAACCACACUUCUCAUUCUGCUUCCUCUGGUUUCCAUCUUGUUAGGUGCACAUGAAUAAAAAUGUCACUUUGUCAAUCCCUUUUAUGCCUACAAAGUGCCCCUCAUGUGAAUACCUGAGGAUGAGACAGACAAUUAACAUUGAGCAAUUCAAUGCAACAAACAUUUAUUGAACCUCUUUCUGUAAUUGAUUGAAGGUCUUUGAGUCAUUAACAAAAUUGCUUUUGUGACUUUCAUGACAAAGUCAAGGUGAUUCUUCCAGUUAGCCAUGUGAGUGUGUGUUUGUGUCUGCCGGUGGUGUCUAGGAAGUUUGGUAUUGAUGAGCAUAUCUGGCAUAGGAGACCAGAAUAUGCCACCCCGAAAUAUGCCUUUUUAGCAUAAGGAUUAUUUUGAGCUGAUUAUUUCGAGAAGCUGCAGACACAGGACUGAAAGUGGAGUAGAAGUUACCCUUUUGCAAAGGAACUUUGCAUCUAUAAAGGAAAUCUCCAUUUGUAAUCUCCAUCCCUCUCUAUACCAGGAAGAGAAGGAUGACUAAAUCACUAGACACUCAUCAAUGGAGAAGGCACCCACAUGAAUCUGCAUAACAACUUUGUUCCUGUGUACCCUGCUGUUCCUGGAUAACUCCCUAUUACUGGGCUUUCCCACGUCCUUCUUUGUUUCACUUGAGGAAUAUAUUUAAGCAAACUACUCAGAGUCCUAUGGUCCAUGUCUACUCGGGGGACAUCACCCUGCUCAAUAUUAACUUGUAUUAAGACUG